UGGAGAUAUGGCCUUUAAACUGGUGAAUAAGUUAAAAUUAAGCCACUAGGGUGGGUCCUAAUCCAAUGUGACUGGCGUCCCUGUAGAUGAUAUUUGAACACGUAAAGCUACACCAGGAUGUACAUGCGCAGGGGACGACCACGUGAGGACAUGGUGAGCAGGUGGCCAUCUGCAAGUCAAGGAGAGAGUCCUCAGAAUGAAACUGUGGACAGCAAUUCCGUGACCUUGAGCUUCCAGUCUCCAGGCUGAGAAAAUGAAUUUGUGUCGUUGAAACCACUCAGUCCAUGGUAUUUGGUUAUGGCAGGCCCAGGAAACUCAUGCAUCUCCCAUCUCAAGACCAAGUGUUAAAAGCAGCCUCGUAUCCCAAUGUGUGUGUGAGACCUACAGACUACAUCUUUCCAUUGUGUUUACACUUCCAGGAGAAGCAGGGGCUGUACAGAAAAGCGGAGACAAGAUGGAGGUGAAUGAGGAUCGAAGCCCUUAGCGUAUGGACACCCAGGAAGCCAGCAUGGGCUCCGGAAUUAGAGCAAGUCUCCAAUCAUCUCUUAACACCCUCUUGAAAUAAUCAACUCAGAUAAUCGGACACCCCAAAGAUUCGAGCAGAUAGGACCCUGGCGAGUCCUGCUUCUUUCCAUGUUCUUACAAGGAGCAAGGAAGCUUUCAAAGACUUUCGAAGUCAUAUCGCGUGAACCCGUGAACUAAUUCAAGAUUUCCGCCAGCAAAGGAUGAGGCCAUUUAAGCAUAAACAAAUAACUGUAUGUCCAAGUUAUCCUAACCCUUAAAUCCAAUGACAAGUUCUUGGAAGAGAAGAGAGAGAGAAACAGACACGGAGAGAAAGGCCUUAUGAAGAUGGAGAUAGAUAGAUGAAGAUGAAGUCCCAGCCAAGAAACACCAAGCUUAGCCAGCCGCCAUCAGAAGCUAGGAGAGAGGCAUGGAACAGAUUCUCCCUCAAAUCCUCAAGAGGAACCAACCCUGUCAACUCCUUAAUUUUAGAUUUCUGGCCUCCAGAACUGUGAGGCAAUACAUUUCUGUUGUUUGAAGCCACUCAGUUUGUGGUAAUUUUUUUAAUAGCACCCUAGGGAACAAAUACACUAGACAUUUUAAAAAAGGGUAAAUAAAGGGGGAGAAUCAUGCAUUUACCUUCCCUUUCUUGUGUGAACUAUAUGUCAAGGUAAUCGAAUAGUUGGUGAGCAAAAAGUCUUCUUUUGUAGAAGAAUUCCAGCUAAUAAAUACAGAAGUUCUAGAAUUAGAGUAUCACUAUAAUCUCUAAUGAAAUAAAUGGAUCUUCUAGGCAAUACUCAUCAAAGACUGCUACGUCCAUUAGGUAGAAGGCUGAUGGGGAGCUGUAUGAUGGCUGGGUCAGGCUGACAAAGCAUGGACCCACUGAUCACUCUCAACAUCCCACACACACAAAAAGACAAUCAGACAUCUUAUAUCUCGAUGCCAUAAGAAGUGUGUAACAUCAUCUAUGAAGUAUUCUGGCUAAAAAGUUGAAUCUGGAUCUAAUUAGGUCUCUAAAUCUCAAUACCGGUUUGCAGAAAAUAAAAAGUAAAAAGAAACAUGCCAAAUGGUACCAGAGGAUUGUAAAUCAGUUAUAUUCAGAAUAUGGAAACUACUACAAGACGAUGACCUAGUUUCUUCAACAACAAAAGACAAGAAAAGAGAGAAGAGGUGAAUGGUUAUAGAUUGAAAGACACAUAAAAGACGUAUCAACCAAAUACAAGCUGUGGCACUUUUUGAGAUCCUGAGUUGAACGAUCCUACCAUAAAAAGACACUCAAGGGUACAGUUAGGGAAAUUAAACCAUUCGACUGGAUAUUAGAUGAUAAUAAGGAAUUAUUUAGUUUUCUUUUAGGUGCGAUGAUUGGUAUUGUGGUUACGUUUCUUUUCAAGUCUGUAUCUCUUAGGCGUAUAUAAGUUUUUACAGAUAAAAUGGUAUAAAGUCUAAGAUGCUAUUUAAAAUAAUCCAGAGAUUUGCAGCAAAGGGAUAGGGUCGA